rnacentral:rRNA from 1 species
GAGUUUGAUCGUGGCUCAGAUUGAACGCUGGCGGCAGGCCUAACACAUGCAAGUCGAGCGGUAGAGAGAAGCUUGCUUCUCUUGAGAGCGGCGGACGGGUGAGUAAUGCCUAGGAAUCUGCCUGGUAGUGGGGGAUAACGCUCGGAAACGGACGCUAAUACCGCAUACGUCCUACGGGAGAAAGCAGGGGACCUUCGGGCCUUGCGCUAUCAGAUGAGCCUAGGUCGGAUUAGCUAGUUGGUGAGGUAAUGGCUCACCAAGGCGACGAUCCGUAACUGGUCUGAGAGGAUGAUCAGUCACACUGGAACUGAGACACGGUCCAGACUCCUACGGAGGCAGCAGUGGGGAAUAUUGGACAAUGGGCGAAAGCCUGAUCCAGCCAUGCCGCGUGUGUGAAGAAGGUCUUCGGAUUGUAAAGCACUUUAAGUUGGGAGGAAGGGCAGUAAAUUAAUACUUUGCUGUUUUGACGUUACCGACAGAAUAAGCACCGGCUAACUACUGUG